rnacentral:rRNA from 1 species
UACAUAGACUGCAAGCGUUAUUCGGAUUCACUGGGCGUAAAGGGUGCGCAGGCGGCCAAGUGUGUGAGGCGUGAAAGCCCGGGGCUUAACCCCGGAAUUGCACCUCAAACUACAUGGCUAGAGCAUUGGAGAGGGUAGCAGAAUUCACGGUGUAGCAGUGAAAUGCGUAGAUAUCGUGAGGAAUACCAGAGGCGAAGGCGGCUACCUGGACAAUUGCUGACGCUCAGGCACGAAAGCGUGGGGAGCAAAAGGG